rnacentral:ncRNA from 1 species
UGGUAUAACAAUUCGUUAGUUAAAAGGGAAUCCGGUCAGAAUCCGGGACAGUCACCACUACUGUAUUGCAGACAAUAAAGCGUAAUCCAUUGAUAAGAUAUCGAGAAGGUGCUUUAGAGGUUGAAGCUAAGUCAGGAGACCUGCCAUAGAUGA